GUGAUCAUCUUACUGAAAUAUGCCAUCUUUACUUUCGCUUCCCGCACCCAGUCCUGUGUGGAUGCUAGGCUCGGGCUAGCGCUGGAUUUACUUAGAAAACAGACCAUAAAAGAGGUAUUUAGACACUAAAGUUAACUGCAAACGUUACGGAAGUAGACAGGAAUCAUCAGACAUCUUUGAACCACGUAGAAAUCGAUAUUCCGGCUGCUUUUUUUUUUUUUUUGAGGACUCUCUUCAGUGGGACUUCGAUCUCCAUCCAUCUGCCACUGUGUGUUGCUGUCUAUCCACGUCCACAUCUCCAUCACGCUGGGAUCGGCCAUCACCUCGGACCAUCUCGUUGGACGUUCAUUAUAAGGGGGAGAUAUUCAGUAUCAGUGUGGUGGAACAUCAUAAAAGCCCUGAAUACACCUGUAGUUGUGUAAAAGUUCUGUAUUUGAAGGAUUGCCAGGCCUAAAUGUCACUGAAUAUCAGUGCAAAGUUCAGGUAUGUAAGGAAAGAACCACAUUUAUUUCGCUUUCACCAACAGCAACA
ensembl:lncRNA